CAGGCUUCUCUGAGCAAAGAAGCUUCAGCGGAUGAAUUACCACCAGGCUGGGGAAAGGAAAUACUUAUCCAGAACAAAGAACUGAGCGGAGAAGCUUCAGCGGAUGAAUUACCACCAGGCUUUACCUGGAAUAAAGGUCCGACAUUAGGAACUGGCAAAUCCGAUCAGGCUUCUCUGACCAGAGAAGCUUCAGCAGAUGACUUACCACCAGGCUUCACCUGGAAUAAAGGUCCAAGAGUAGGAACUAACAAUUCUGAUCAGGCUUCUCUGAGCAGAGAAGCUUCAGCGGAUGAAUUACCACCAGGCUUUACCUGGAAUAAUGGUCCGACAGUAAGAACUGGAAAUUCUGAUCAGGCUUCUCUGAUCAGAGAAGCUUCAGCGGAUGAAUUACCACCAGGAUUUACCUGGAAUAAAGGUCCGACAGGAAGAACUGGCAAUUCUGAUCAGGCUUCUCUGAGCAGAGAGGCUUCAGCGAAUGAAUUACCACCAGGCUUUACCCGGAAUAAAGGUCCGACAGGAAGAACUGGCAAUUCUGAUCAGGCUUCUCUGAGCAGAGAGGCUUCAGCGGAUGAAUUACCACCAGGCUUUACCUGGAACAACUGUCCGACAGUUGAAACUGGCAAUUCUGAUCAGGCUUUUCUGAGCAGAGAAGCUUCAGCGGAUGAAUUACCCCCAGGCUGGGAAAAGGAAAUACUUGCCCAGAAGAAAGAUCCUACUGUAGGAACUGGCAAUUCUUAUCAGUCUUUUCUGAGAAGAGAAGCUUCAGUCGAUGAAUUACCACCAGGCUGGAAAAAAGAAAUCAGAAUUAGGCAAAACGCACGUGGGAAAACGC
rnacentral:lncRNA from 1 species